GCGCCGGUGGUGUAAUAGCGUAGAGCAUUCCAGUUUGGUCAGCAGGAGGUGCGGGUUCAAGCCCACCCGGCGCU
rnacentral:tRNA from 1 species